UACGGGGCUUAUGUCUUGUAAAUUGGAUGAUGGGAAUUUAAACCUCUUCCAGAGUAACAAUUGGAGGGCAAGUCUGGUGCCAGCAGCCGCGGUAAUUCCAGCUCCAAUAGCGUAUAUUAAAAUUGUUGCAGUUAAAAAGCUCGUAGUUGAAUUUCUGCUGCAUUGCAUUUUCUCCUAUACGAGUUUUUGCAUUGUGGCUUAUUUCGGUUAUAAAAUUUAUUUUUAUUUCCGGAUGUUUACUUUGAGAAAAUUAGAGUGCUCAAAGCAGGCUUUUGCCUUGAAUAGUUUAGCAUGGAAUAAUAAAGUAGGACUUUGGUUCUAUUUUGUUGGUUUUAGGUACCAAAGUAAUGGUUAAUAGGAACAGUUGG
rnacentral:rRNA from 1 species